rnacentral:rRNA from 1 species
UACGUAGGGUGCGAGCGUUAAUCGGAAUUACUGGGUGUAAAGCGUGCGCAGGCGGUUUUGUAAGCCAGAUGUGAAAUCCCCGGGCUCAACCUGGAGAUGGCAUUUGGGACUGCAAGGCUCGAGUUUGGCAGAGGAGACUGGAAUUCCUGGUGUAGCAGUGAAAUGCGUAGAUAUCAGGAGGAAUACCGAUGGCGAAGGCAGGUCUCUGGGCUGAAACUGACGCUCAUGCACGAAAGCGUGGGGAGCAAACAGG